CAAUUUUUCUUUCUCUCUCUCACGUCUCUCUUUUUCUUCUCCCUCUUUAUGUUUUCCCUCAUUCACUCUCUUAUCCCUCCAGAUUUCGUUUUCCUCCAUCAUUUUCCUUUUUCCACAUAUUUUGUUUGUUCAGACUGUUUCCUCCAUAGAAGAAAUGAUAUGCUUGAAAAGAAGGGUCUCAAAUCCCCAUUUUAUUUAAUGAUUGGAACCACUAUUGUUGGUUUAAUUUUUCAGAUCUGAACAAUAAUGGUUUUAAUUUUUGUUUUAUGUUGCUUUCUCAAGUAUUUUCUUUGACUCAUUUGUUUUCAAUAAAAUGACAGAAUCUAUUUGUGAGAACAGGAAGAUGAAGAAGGAAGAGUAUGAAGUUUGAGAAAGCGUGUCUGAGGGGAAGGAAAGGAGGAGGACCAACGAAGAAAGCUAUGACCAGAUCCGUCAGAUCCGGACUUCAAUUUCCCGUCGGAAAAAUUGGUUGUUACUUUAAGAAAGGUAGAUAUGCUCAAUAUGAUGGUAUCGAUGCUCCUGUUUACUUAGCUAUUGUUCUCGAAUAUCUUGAUGUUGACGUAAACUCAUAACUCUUUCAUUCUUCUUUUUAAGUUGUAACUUCUGUUAGUUAGGGAUUGAAGAUUACCAGACCUCAUUCACCAAGGAAUCGAAGAGUUGGGAUGACAUGAUUUGGCUUUGCAUUUUCGCUUUCAUAUAUUUUCUCCACAAAGUACUCUUCAUUUAGGUUUUUCGAGCUGAUACGGAUUUAGUUUUUUUACUGGUGCAGGUCCGGUUUGAAUGUGUAUUUGGACUCAUAAGCUCGACUUGGACCAUCUACGUUUUUUCGGUGUAGAUUCAAUUACAGGCAGCGAUGCAGGGCUGAAGUUUGCUUCGAAUGGUUUAAGAUAGUUGAAGGAUCCAGUGAGUGUGAGAAGUUCGCUCAAGACGUGUAGCUGAUUUAUAUGUUGAAUUGCAUGGUUUGAGGUAUUGAAAUUUGGUUAUUUCUAUGCUGCAAGUUCGCUCAAGACGUGUAGUUUCUUAUGACAUUUUCAUUUCGUUCUAACAAGCUUACCUUAACGCAAAGGAUUUGAAUCCAUCACUAUUGUCUUAAGAGCAUGUUCUUGAACCCUAACUCCCAAUUUCUCUGCUUCUUAGUCAGAAGAGGAUCAAAUAAAGUUCAAAAGUAAAAAAUGUGUUGAUUAUGGUUGUUUCGAUUCUGCUGGUGAUGGUUGUGUUCGGCACAUUUUCGGAACUCUUUAAAGAAAGCAGACGACUUUUUGAAGGAACAGCACACACAAGCUAUUUCAAGUAUGUCCACCAAGUGUUGACGAAAUUAUGUAGGGAUUAUGAAAUAUGGAGGAUGAAUAUUGUUGAGAAAUGUAAUUAUUAUGUUGUAAACGAUAUGCAGUGUGUUUUUGAAGGGAUCGUGAUGAGUUUAGUGUAAUAGGUUAUGUUUGUAGAGACAGGCUGUGAAGUUUAUGUUACUUUGAAGGUGGGAUGGUGAGGUUUGAAUAAGGUUUAUUUUGUUUCAGAGUGUAUAUCUUUCAAUUAAUUUUAUCCUCUCCCUAUUGAUAA